AGGACGAACGCUGGCGGCGUGCUUAACACAUGCAAGUCGAGCGGAAAGGCCCUUUCGGGGGUACUCGAGCGGCGAACGGGUGAGUAACACGUGAGUAACCUGCCCUUGGCUUUGGGAUAACCCUCGGAAACGGGGGCUAAUACCGAAUAUUCACUGCUCCUCGCAUGGGGGGUGGUGGAAAGAUUUUUUGGCUGGGGAUGGGCUCGCGGCCUAGUCAGCUUGUUGGUGGGUGAUGGCCUACCAAGGCGACGACGGGU
rnacentral:rRNA from 1 species